rnacentral:lncRNA from 1 species
CUUAGCAAUAUGUAGUGGCAAUCCAACAGAAUAAAAGUAUGAACCCCUAGGUGUAGUUAUCGUAUGAUUCAGUCUUUCUGUCAUGAGUCCCGACUUGACGGAGGUCAUAGCGAACUCGUCAAACCCUAUCGUCAAUCAUAUGCAAGAUUGGCUCGACUCGAGUUCACUUAUAAAUACCGUAAAAACUCCUUUCUACUAUUCAUACUUGCUUUGACCAAAGACUUUCUGAAUUCAGUCUCAUAAAUCAUAUAGGACUUCUUCUUUUCUAUCA